rnacentral:tRNA from 1 species
GGGGAUAUAGCUCAGUGGUAGAGCACUUGCUUAGCCUGUGUGAGGCCCUAGGUUCAAUCCCUAGUACCACAA